AAAAUGGUGGAGUGUUUGGUCUGUUCAAGUGAUUGGUUGAGGGUUACAACACCUAACUUCUACAAGGAACCAACUGUGGCUGAGCUGGAGCAGUAUCGCGAGCUAGAAGCAAUGGAGAGAGAAACUGCUGGACUUAAAUUGGAUGAACCAAGCUCUUCUACGACCACUGCUGCAACAUAAAGAAGAUGCCCAUUUCAGUUUUCUGCCGGUGCAAAGGUUUUGCGGCAUCCCCAUACUGGAGAAAAUGAGGUGAUGGCUGAUCGGAA